GCUGCGCCCCUCGGUCAGCCGACGCGUUGACAAACGUGGAGACGGAGUGGGUUUUCGGGUGGUCGCUCUUCUGACGGUGUUAGUCGGGGAAGUAGCCCUGAAUCUUCCCUUUAAAACAGGGGUUUGAGGUGCGGAGGCUGGAGUCUUUCAUCCCACAAAGAGCAUGAUGCCAGACUUCGUUCACUCCGUAUUAAUUCUCAGAAGCGGAGAGAGGAAGAUGAAAAAAUAAACCUCCCUACAAUAAAGAUUUAGUCCUGCAGUGCUUAGGAACAAAAACAGUUCAUGCCUGAGUAAUCCCAUCAAUUUGAGCUAGGACUUGCACAUCAUAUCCUGAACUAGAAAUGAUGUCCGAUUUUGGGGAAGAGUCAGCAUCUUCAUGUUCUUCCUUUAAGCUCGGCGUGUAAUUAACCUGUUUAUAGCAUACCCUAGACCAAGCCCUCCAUUCUGAACACAACUCUGUAUCUGUAGCUGGUGAUGAUCUUGCGGCUUCCACUUUCACAGCGCUGCCAACUUUAAACUUUUAUACAUUUGUAGCUUUAAAAUGAUUAGGCUUACAAAUUAAUACUA